AUUGAACGCUGGCGGCAGGCCUAACACAUGCAAGUCGAGCGAGCGGCGGACGGGUGAGUAAGGUAUGGGCAUCUGCACGCUAGAGGGGGGUAACUACUGGAAACGGUGGAUAAUACCGCAGACUAUCGGAUGAACACAUAUGGGAUUAGCUAGUAGGUGGGGUAAAGGCUCACAUAGGCGAAGAUCCCUAGCUGGUCUGAGAGGAUGAACGGCACCACUGGAACUGAGACACGGCCCCGAUUCCUACGGGAGGGAGCAGUGGGGAAUAUUGCACAAUGGGCGCAAGCCUGAUGCAGCCAUGCCGCGUGUAUGAAGAAGGCCUUAGGGUUGUAAAGUACUUUCAGCGGGGAGGCGUUACCCGCAGAAGAAGCACCGGCUAACUCCGUGCCAGCAGCCGCGGUAAUUC
rnacentral:rRNA from 1 species